rnacentral:lncRNA from 1 species
AAAAUUAAUUAGUAGAUUUUCAUCCAAAGUUUUGAAAAAAAUGGGGCGGGUGGGAGGAUUUUAUUUUUUAAAUUUUAUUCAAUUUGAAACCUUCUUGUGGCGUGAACUUCAUAUAUAUGCAAGUGUUAUAAUUACAAAUUUUAGCUUAUACCAUGUAAAUGUUUAAACAUGUAUAAAGAAUCGUACAUAAUUCUUGAAUAAACAUCUCUGAUUUGCAACGCGGACUGUUCUACAUGCAAUUGCUACAUAUAAUUUUCAGCAAACAGUAAAACCAUGGAGAAAUUCUCUAUUCAUUUGACUACCAACUCCAAAUUUAUUUUGCUCUCUAAGUGAUGGUUUGUAGUCC